CUACAAUUCAACGAGGGCAAAGGAUUAUGGGUAAUGCUAAUUGGAAAUAUGUGAAGUGUCCUCAACAACCCGGUAGUGAUGAAUGUGGAUACUACGUUAUGAGGUUCAUAUAUGAUAUAUGCACAAAAUUUCAUAACUACACUUCGUUGGAUGAGGCAUAUCAAGACACAAAUGCUUAUUCUAAGGAUGAAAUAGAUGAGAUACGGAAUUUAUGGAUAGACUAUUUUGUAAAUGAGUGCAUAUAAAUGUUUAUUAGGUGCACUAGAUGGAAUUACAUUGUAUAUAUUAUGAUAUAUUAAUGUUGGAUUAUUAUUUUGCGUUAGACAAUUAUGUAUGUUGGAUGAUUAUAUUGUGUUAGACAAUUAUGUAUGUUGGAUUAUAUAUAUUGUGUUGAAUGGUUUGAACCAUAUAAAUGUUGUUUGGUAGUGGAA